AGGGUUUACCUGGUUUACCGGGACCACCUGGUCCUGUUGGGCUCAGGGGGCCUCCUGGGAUCCGAGGUGGUUAUGGUCCAGAAGGCCAACGUGGACCUGAUGGGGAGCCUGGACUGGAUGGCCUUCUAGGUUUGCUGGGUUCACCGGGUGCGCCGGGCUUUACAGGACGUGUCGGAGCUCAAGGAGUCAAUGGCUCAAGGGGGGACAUAGGCCCUGCUGGCAGUGUCGGCCGCAAAGGCCCACAGGGGCCCCCAGGUUUGGACGGACAGGUGGGUCCUGCAGGACCCAGAGGUCCCCAAG